rnacentral:rRNA from 1 species
GACGAACGCUGGCGGCGUGCUUAACACAUGCAAGUCGAACGGAAAGGCCCUGCUUUUGUGGGGUGCUCGAGUGGCGAACGGGUGAGUAACACGUGAGUAACCUGCCCUUGACUUUGGGAUAACUUCAGGAAACUGGGGCUAAUACCGGAUAGGAGCUCCUGCUGCAUGGUGGGGGUUGGAAAGUUUCGGCGGUUGGGGAUGGACUCGCGGCUUAUCAGCUUGUUGGUGGGGUAGUGGCUUACCAAGGCUUUGACGGGUAGCCGGCCUGAGAGGGUGACCGGCCACAUGGGGACUGAGAUACGGACCAGACUCCUACGGGAGGCAGCAGUGGGGAAUAUUGCACAAUGGGCGGAAGCCUGAUGAAGAAACGUCGCGUGCGGGAUGACGGCCUUCGGGUUGUAAACCGCUUUAGCCUGUGACGAAGCGUGAGUGACGGUAAUGGGUAAAGAAGCACCGGCUAACUACGUG